rnacentral:rRNA from 1 species
GACGAACGCUGGCGGCGUGCUUAACACAUGCAAGUCGAACGGAAAGGCCCUGCUUUUGUGGGGUGCUCGAGUGGCGAACGGGUGAGUAACACGUGAGUAACCUGCCCUUGACUUUGGGAUAACUUCAGGAAACUGGGGCUAAUACCGGAUAGGAGCUCCUGCUGCAUGGUGGGGGUGGGAAAGUUUCGGCGGUUGGGGAUGGACUCGCGGCUUAUCAGCUUGUUGGUGGGGUAGUGGCUUACCAAGGCUUUGACGGGUAGCCGGCCUGAGAGGGUGACCGGCCACAUUGGGACUGCGAUACGGCCCAGACUCCUACGGGAGGCAGCAGUGGGGAAUAUUGCACAAUGGGCGGAAGCCUGAUGCAGCAACGCCGCGUGCGGGAUGACGGCCUUCGGGUUGUAAACCGCUUUCGCCUGUGACGAAGCGUGAGUGACGGUAAUGGGUAAAGAAGCACCGGCUAACUACGUG